CGCCUGCCCUGUGACAAAAGUUUAACGGCCGCGGUAUUUUGACCGUGCAAAGGUAGCGCAAUCACUUGUCCUUUAAAUGAAGACCUGUAUGAAUGGCAUCACGAGGGCUUAACUGUCUCCUUUUUCCAGUCAAUGAAAUUGAUCUCCCCGUGCAGAAGCGGGGAUAAAACCAUAAGACGAGAAGACCCUAUGAAGCUUUAGACGCAAGACAGAUCUUGUUAAACACUUCAAAAUAAAGAAAUAAACUUAAAGAACCCUGCUCCGAUGUCUUUGGUUGGGGCGACCACGGGGAAACAAAAAACCCCCAUGCGGACUGAGAAAACAAUUCUCACAACCAAGAGCCACAGCUCUAGUUAACAGAAUUUCUGACCUUUAGAUCCGGCAAUGCCGAUCAACGGACCGAGUUACUCUAGGGAUAACAGCGCAAUCCCCUCUUAGAGCUCCUAUCGACGAGGGGGUUUACGACCUCGAUGUUGGAUCAGGACAUCCUAAUGGUGCAGCAGCUAUUAAAGGUUCGUUUGUUCAACGAUUAAAGUCCU
rnacentral:rRNA from 1 species